GUGCAUUUGUGGACAUGUUCCUUACCAAUUUACCCAAUACCCUCUUAGAUGAGGUAGCAGCUAGGUACCUACCAGAGACAUUGGAGGAGCUCAUCGUGUAUCUUGCUUAGAUGAGACUUAGACAUAGAAUACCAGAGAGAGGCCUAAAAGACUGGCUAUCAGAUUAGCUCCUACCUUUUCCUCAGAGAGGGAUUGUGUAUGUAUUGUGGCAAGAGGAGACAUCUCCGUUUU